UGAGUGGUGUUUGGUUUGUUACGUGUGGUUGGCUGCGGCGUUUGCAACAACUUCCAUGCUUUCAGACCUCUUCAGUUGUGCGGCAAGGCUUGUAUCGCCUUGAGCGUAUUGUGGGUUUUCUGUGUUGGCUACCUAAUCAAUGGUAUCGGUUGGAUUGAUCAAUGUUUCAUUUCGUCUACCGUCGCAUUCGCGGCGUGAGAUGAACCUUGAUGCGGUCUCUUUGAUCCACCUCGUCGAAGCGCAUGCUUUGGCGUUGUGGCACAUUGAGCAUUGCUUGGUCUCUUGUAUACGGAACAUAUAGUGGGCAUGGAUCUAACGAUUCUCGUUUGCCCUCAUAUUAGCGUAACGCUUCUCUUACACGACUUGCUCCACGUUUUAGCUCGUACGGACGUGGUGCUAUGUCGAAGAGGAAUGCUACCUGGUUGAUC
rnacentral:misc_RNA from 5 species